rnacentral:tRNA from 1 species
UCCCUGGUGGCUCAGAGGUUAAAGCGUCUGCGUGGAAUGCGGGCAACUCGGGUUCAAUCCCUGGUUUGGGAA